rnacentral:lncRNA from 1 species
CUGCAUUGCCGAGGGCAAGGUCUCAGAGAUCUAGCAGGGAAGGCAUGUCAAUAGACCCUAGAAGGUCUGUAGACGAGAGCAGAAGAGGGAUGGUUAGAGGAGGUAGAUCUGAGGAAGAGAGGGAGGCCAUGGAGACUGAUCUGUCUAUGGAUGAAGGUAUGGGAGAAUCUCUGGGAGGUGUUCAGGUCUCAGGUUUUGAUUAUCCAGCUGUUUCCCAAGUUCCAGAGUAUCCAAUGGAGGGUAUGUCGGAGUACUCUCGAUUUGACCCAUAUCCUACAUCUAUGCCAUAUAUGCCAUAUCCUUACUAUUACCCAUCAUAUCCACCAUAUCCUAUGUAUCCACCCUCCCCUACCC